rnacentral:rRNA from 1 species
UACGGAGGAUGCAAGCGUUAUCCGGAAUUAUUGGGCGUAAAGCGUCCGCAGGUGGCUUUGUAAGUCUGCUGUUAAAGAGUGAGGCUCAACCUCAUAAGAGCAGUGGAAACUACAUAGCUAGAGUGCGGUAGGGGCAGAGGGAAUUCCUGGUGUAGCGGUGAAAUGCGUAGAGAUCAGGAAGAACACCGGUGGCGAAAGCGCUCUGCUAGGCCGCAACUGACACUGAGGGACGAAAGCUAGGGGAGCGAAUGGG